CGCAAAGGUUGGAAUCUUUUUAAAGCCCUUGGGCUACGCAAAGAUUGUACCCGCACAGCUGGUGGAUCUAGAGGUACCCGAACCUUACCAACUAUUAAGUUCAGUUUUCUGUUCCUAUUCUCUCUCUCCAAUAAGAAACUGGCUUAGUCGUUCAUCACGUGUUAUCGAAGUACACCGUUGAUGCAGAUCUCAAUUUUGAACGAACAAAUACCACAGUCUCGGUGAUAUCUUCAGUAAAACCAUGAGUAACUUGUGCGUUAGGUGUUAAGUGUUGAAAACCAAGAUUGUGCAGUGAAUCUUGUUGGUGAAUUAACAAAGAGCCCGAGCGCCCUUUGAUGUGUUGAAGUCCAUUUACGUUUUGUGUAUUCGUUGUUGGAUGUGCGAGUACCCAGUUAUUGUGUUGGGAUUACCAAUUUUGCGAAGGUCAACUUAGCAAGGAUUCGCUAGCCCACUCAUUGCAGUAUUUGUUUUCAUUAUUUGUGAAAGCGCAACUUCUGCUCCGAAAAUGGUACCUACCGCAAUUAUUUAAAAAACAAUUUGAACUCGAAUGGUAAAUGAACGAAGUUGUAGGAGGCCCUGAGGACAAUACCUUUUGACAAUGACUGGAGCCGAAAACACCAGUGAAAAGAAUAACGGAAAUGAAGAAGUACCGCCCGAUGAUGAACACCUGCCACUUAAUGACAAAGGUCUCGUAUACAAAACAGAAAUCACAAUCGCCGUGAACGGGUCAGAUGAUAUUUCUGAUGGAAACGACGAAGACUUCGUGAUCCUAAGAAAUGAUAACAAUACCGUUAUCAACAGACCAGCCUAUUCAAAAUUACAUAAAGUUUCAACAUCUCGAUUGAGCACAUUUAGCUUGGGACGAUUCGAAUUAUUCAGUAACAACCAGAAAAAAUCGACAAGUUCCGUAGUUGGAAAAAAAGACUCAAAACCCAGAACAAAGGAAAAAGUGAAAUAUAACGAACAAAACAACAACAGUGAAGAUAUUGAAGAUUUCAUACCAUGCGUGAUACGAAAAUCUGAGUCAGUAGAUACGGUUGAUAGGAUAGAAAAGGAACUUUCCAAUUUCAUAAUGGAUAAUAAAAAGAAAGACAAAAAACGCACCAAUAGUUUCCGAAAACUUUUUUCUGUCUUCGGAAAGGACAAAAAGAAAAAGGUAAAGGAAACUGAUGUAACUAACUCCCCUAGUUCGGAUUACGUCGACAAUUAUCAGAAUGAAACUAAUAGUAAUUCAUUUAUUAGAAAUACUCCCCAAAGGCAUACUGUAGGCUGUGAUCAAUAUAAAAAAGAAAAAAGUUACGAUAGUAAACCAUUUCCCCCUAAAAACAUAGAUGAAGAUCCACCACCUGAAAUUCUUAGAAAGUAUGCAAAUAAUCAUAUAAACAAGUUCAACAAAAUAAGGAAAAGUUUCGAACACCCCGACGACAACGAAAGUAACAUUAAAAACGAAAUGUCUACCAAGAGAAACGAUCCCAGUACCCAACACUCCCAAGUCAUAAAAUAUAUUGACACCAGUUCCUCUACCACCAGUACAAUGGAAUCUGCAAAGUUCAAUACUUACCAGAAUGCCCUCAUCGCUCAGGCUGAGUUUCAGCAAUUGAAGAAGGAAAAUAACGUUAUAGAUACCAGACCGAACCUGAUAAGAAAUGAUUCUUUUCGAAGAGACACGCCUCCGAGAGCAACAGAUACCCACCAACCAGUGAACAUUGUUAAGCCUAGAGCUAGGCUCCCAAUUAAUUCUGAACGUGCCCUCCCUAAUCCAUAUCACAAUGAAGUGGAGGAUCAGAAAGAUUUAAGUACUACAUAUACACAAGAAAAUGAGGGCAUCGCUCGUCCAGAAGUGCUUGAUAUAUACGGAACAGUUUUCGAUGCAAUAGACCAAUCUAAACGAAAUUCUUAUCGUACAUCAACCAUUGCAUCACAAGAUUCUAGGAAAACUCAAUCUCCAGUUCCCAUAACACCACGAUCACCGUCGUUGGAAGGUUCAAAGCUUCGAUUACCCUCAAAUAGGGACAUCACUCCCUUACAACCCAGAUUACGAUCUCCCCUACCUACUGCUCGAGUAAGUACCGAGAAGAUCAUCGCCACAGAACUUCUGAAAAAUACCAACUCUUUGGAUAAGAAGUCACCAAGUACCCCAAACUCUUUGACACGUCCCAAUAAAGAAGAAAAACCUUUCAAACCACAAGCUGAAUCAACUCCGGAUAUGAAAACAUGUCAAGCUUUGAAUGCUCUGCGAGAGAAGUUUGAAGAAAACAGUCAAAAAUUGAACGAAGAAUUGGACCAAAUUAAACAAACCUUGCAGAAUAUAUCACAUGAAGAUUCCCCAGAACGAAUUCCAAGUCGAAAUGGGAGGAUGGCUAAAGAUACAAUAUCCAAUCCGACCUCAUCCCCAAGAGGUACAAUGUUAACGAGUCCCAGGUCUUCCAUGACAAUUUCUCCAGUGCCCCUUACAAAACCCCUGGAAGUAAAUUGUUCUUCUCCAACACCAGGGAUGUAUCCACAAGGUUCUUCUGAUGUCGAGCUCAGACAAAAGCACUCAGUAGUUCGAAGAAAUGGCUCCCAAAGUAACGUGAAUAGGUCUCCAUCUUCACCAAUCAAAGAUGAGAUGAGGAAGAGUGUGGAGGCUUAUUAUUGGAAAGAAAUAAAGAGGAUUAAAGAACACGAAGAUUACGAGAUAUAUUUGUCUCAGCUUCAUUUCUCCCAAAGAGGUUAUGCCGAGGAUCCAAUUUUGUCACGUAGAUCUCGAGGAAUGAACGAAAACAGAGGUAGAAGAAGUUCUAGUGUCCCUAGAAACCCCAAACAACAUCAACAAUUUGAUAGUCAACAAAAUAUACACAUGCUUAAGACUGCAAUUCCCGAAGGUAAUGCUGUGGCUUAUAGAACGCAAGAUAGAAAUAUUUAUGGUUAUCUGCCAUCGAGGACCUCUCAAAUGCAUUCUUCUCGUAGUAGCAUAACGAAUUCGCAAAGGCAAGCAAAUGGAGAUUAUGCCACCUAUAAACCCAUAUUUCGAAGGGGUAGUCUAUCUGGUGGUGGCCAUGCCCCUCAAACUUUGCAAAUAAACAAGAAGGUGAGCUUUUCGAAUUCACAACAGCCAGCUAAUGUUGAAGCCUGGCCUACCAGGAACGGUUUCACGAGAAGUCCACCGCAGAGAAGACUGGAUAAAAUGAGCACCAAUGCACAGUUGGAAGACGAUGUUUUCCUACCUCCUACUGACAAGCAGGUCAAUAUGCAACAACAACAAAUUUAUGGUCAAAAUCAAGUCCUAAGAAACCACUAUAAUUCGGAGACCGAAUCAAUAUAUGGUCAAAAUCCAUAUGGGUAUGCCGGACAGCCAAAUUUGGUGAGACCAGCUAAUUAUAACUCUGAUUCUGAAGCCGUAUAUGGUGGACGUUAUUAUAGAACUAUGAGCAGGCAAGAAAUGGAAAAUCUAAGAAAUGCUCAGGCGAAUUCAAUUCGUCAACCUGAUUUGAGAAGCAGGCCGGUACCUAGGUUGACAAGACACGAAUCUAUACAAUUACCUGAAUCACCUUAUGGAUAUUCUGUUCAGUAUGGAGCGAGCAGACAAUAUCAAACGAACGGCGUUGUAAGAGAUAACAGAAUGCCUGUUGGUCCAAAUAGAAUUCCUCCAAGGCGAGAAAUUCUGAUUACUGAUAAUAUUUAUGGCCAACACAUAGGUUAUCGGAACGAAUUCGCCAGUUCACCUUAUGGAUACACAGUAAACAAUAAUCCAAACAUUCCAGAACCUGUGUAUGCCGCUAGACCCAAACAAGUAACAGUAAGAAAUAAAGUCUGUGAUAUGUACGGUAGGAUUCAUGAUGUUGCACCGUUGAGUGGAAACGUACAAGCCAGUGGCGUCCUCAUGGGCCAGAUACAGGACCUACCGACUUCUCCUCCAAGUUUUAGGAGAGGCACUCGAUUGACCGCUAGCAACAACGAUAUGCUAUAUCGGAGACAAAAUCAACUCUAUGAAAAUCGUAGUAUAGAGCAGAAUGAAAUUCUGCAUGGUUCUAGAGGAUCAGUCAGACCUUUACCACCACUUCCACCAAGCGGAAAAGCAGUGAAUAACGAUCAUAAAAAUGCAAACACGAAAAAGAAUAAUUCUUCCAAGAAGAAGAAGAAAUAGAUAUUGUUGAUUUUCAACAGUAAUAAUUGAUGUUCAAUAUAUGCUUGCCUUCUAGUACCUUGCAAUAAGAAUUCGAAGGUCCUACAAAAAUAUCCUCAGUUAUUUCUCAAUUCCGUCGAUUAUGCGAAAGUUUCACAAUACACGGUGCCCAGACGUUGAUUUCACAUUAUUAUCAACAAUAUUCGAUCAUAAACUAUGAGUUGAUCAAUUCGAUUUGAAAAAGGAGAUGCAGUCUGUUAUUCCGAAAUUUCUGUUGGAUGAAAGGUUUCGAACUUUGAACUCGAAAAUCUUGUUUGAAAUAAUUACCCAUUUUUUUUAACCUUGGAGAAUUUGAUGACAACCAUUACAGUUUCACGAGAAUGUAUCUGUAUUCCAUAAUAUUUUUUCAAUAGUGAUUAUAUAGGAUCUUCGAUGAAAAUUAUAUUCUUGCUUUUCUCAAUACUAUUUUCAAAUUUUUAUAAUGUUGGUUGUAAAUAUAAAGAUAUGUAUUUUUAUUUAUUCAGUUAUUGAAAUGUUCAAUCAAAUAGUGCUUUUCAUUUGGGAAAAAUGAAAUGUAUCCUGAAACAUUGUAUUCAGUUUUAUAUAUUGUUCUAUUCGUACAGCGUAAUGUAGAAAUUGUAAAUAUGUUAUUUAUGAGGUAAUGUUCAAUGAUUGCUGAUUCUUAUUUAUUGUAUUUCCAAUAAAAUAUAUUUCUAUUAA